rnacentral:rRNA from 1 species
UACAACGCACUACCUGUUCAUAGUAGUCGUUGCUGUCCACAGCACACUGCUCACCAUCAACGCAGGGGACUACAUCUUCUACACAGACUGGGCGUGGACGUCCUUCGUUGUGUUCUCGGUGUCGCAUUCGUCAAUGCUCAACGUAGGUGCAAUAAUCCACAUGUUAUUCCCUGGUUGUUCAUGCACCUAAAUCUAACAAUCCUCUUCAUUGUUCAUCAUCGUACAUGCCGCAACGGUCGAAUGAUUAGCACUGCGCUAUCCAUACCUCCUUGACCAGACAACAACACGCAACAAUCACGCUGCCAUACGAAUUGGCGGUCCGCUGGUUGGCCUAUCCUUCCCGCUGUUCAACAUGGUCAACCUGUUGCUUGUAAGAGACCCGCUCGAGGUGGCCUGCAAGUAUCAGAGACCGACUCUGCCCGCGUACAUGACGCCUAUAGAGCCUCAGGUAGGAAAGUUCUACAACUCGCCUGUCGCCCUGGGUUCAGGUGCCGGUGCAGUGCUAACGGUACCCAUCGCUGCGUUGGGUGCAAAACUAAACACGUGG